AGAAGAAGACAGCAGACCAGCGCGGCAACUGUUGAAAUGUUCCUUUUGUCAGCAGGAGCAUUACAUAACUGCCAGAAGAGGAGAUGGCAGAUGGAAUGACUUUUAAUCAAGGAGCAUUAUAUAACUGCCAGAAGAAGAGACAGCCGAUGGAAUUACUUUUAAUCAAGGAGCAUUAUACAACUGCCAGAAGAGGAGAUAGCAGAUGGAAUAACUUUUAAUCAAGGAGCAUUAUAUAACUGCCAGAAGAGGAGAUAGCAGAUUGAAUGACUUUUAAUCAAGGAGCAUUAUAUAACUGCCAGAAGAGGAGAUAGCAGAUGGAAUUACUUUCAAUCAAGGAGCAUUAUAUAACUGCCAGAAGAGGAGAUAGCAGAUGGAAUGACUUUUAAACAAGGUAAUGGUGGUUAUUUGGUCAAAAUUUGGUCAAGGCUCUUCCUGAUCGUCUCUUCAGGAUGCACCGUUUUGUGGAAAGGACGCUCAGCGGGGACUCGGCUUGAUGUCCGACCUGAAGCCCGGGCGCCUGCUGCUUGUUUGCAGGGGGCCCGAUCCGGCCAUGACCCCUGUAAUGGUUUCUGUGGUUGGAACCACUUCCAUAGUCACAUGAGAACCAGACCCGGACCACGUUCUUUUUAAGGUCCAGCUUCUCGGCGAUGGCGGCGAUCUUCUCCGAGGAGGGCCGAGGCUGCACGGCGAAGUAGGCCUCCAAGGAGCGCUUCUCCGGGGCGGCGAUGGACGUGCGUUUCCGC